AGUUGUUAGUGACGAUUUUAUUCUAUGUCUGAUCAUGAUAUAUUGGUAGAAAGAUAUAGUGCAGCUUUUAUUUUUAUACAUUGAAUUGUAAUUUUAGAAAGCUGAGACGGACAAUAAAUAGUAGUAGUUUCAAGAAAAUGACAACAAUCGCAAGAAUUUCACAAGCAAAUAUCGUGCAAGCUACAAGGAAACAUACAGCUACUGUGUUUUUUUUCCACGGUUCCGGUGGCACAGCAGAAGAUGUCAAAGAAUGGAUUGACAUUCUUAACAGAGAAAAACUACAGUUUCCACAUAUAAAAUUAAUUUAUCCCAGCGCACCAAGUCAACCUUAUACACCAAAUGACGGAAUGAUGCAAAAUGUAUGGUUUGAUCGUAUAGCAAUAUCUAAUCAAGUGCCAGAACAUAUAGAGUCAAUUGAUUCUAUGUGUCAAAAUAUAUCAGAGUUGAUCGAUAAAGAAGUAGCUAAUGGAAUUCCAUUUAACAGAAUAAUUUUGGGUGGCUUUUCAAUGGGUGGUUGUCUUGCAUUGCAUUUAACAUACAGAUACAAAACAUCCAUAGCUGGUUGCUUCGCUAUGUCUUCUUUUCUGAACAAUGGAUCUAUAAUCUAUGAGCACUUAAAAGCAAGGCCAGAACAUAAUAAGGUUCCACUUGUUCAAUAUCAUGGUACAGUAGAUACUUUAGUUCCUAUUAAAUGGGGUGAAGAGACUGCUAACAAUUUGAAGGAGCUUGGCGUAAAUGUAAAAUUUACACCGCUACAAAAUAUUGAUCAUGAAUUGAGUCGUGGAGAGAUUCAAAGUUGGAAAGAUUGGCUCCUUAAUAUCUUACCAGAUAAAUAAUUAUUUCCCCGCAUCGGAGAUUAAGAUCGCGAUCCUCCCUCCUCCAGCUUUCCUUGCCAUCCCUUUUAGCGUGUAUAUGCACGCAUGCGACGAAAGUGAAGAAGGGGCAAAUCGCGCCGACGAGUCCAUCGGCAACGAGUGCGCAGUGAAACGAAGAGGGUUGAACUGCGACGGAAUUGCUGCGCCUUUCGGAUAACUCCGGAUGGGGUGGGUGGUGGAUAGCCCCACUGGCCGCCUGGCGUUCUCGUUCUCGCUACCGAUGUCACGUCAUGACACGGACGUUUAUUUUUCGUCGCAGUAUCGACUUUUAUGAGAAAGAUAUAAAGCACACGUUAUCAGUUAUUAGUUGCAAUACAAAAUACCUCGAUGUGGAAUCGAUGUUUAACAACGAGGAACUUGCGAGGAGGGUGAACAUGAAAGGGAACGGAUUAGUGCGUGUCGAGCUAAAAAUAUUCCUAUAGGGGGAAAUCUUUAAAAAGAACGAGACAAUAUAGACACAUACACAUAGAAAAUAUAUAUACAUAUUAAUAUAUAUAUACAGGGUGGAAAACUUGUAUUGUAAAAACGUGGAACUGAUAUAUACACAAUGAUGGUGAUAUUUGCGACGAGCAAUUUCUACGGAGUGAACAUAAUAAAAUUGUAAGAAGGAAAAGGAAGGGCAGAGUGGACGCUCAUCGAUGUGCAAAUAAGUGUGUCCGGAGACGCGCCGGUGAACGCUCGAUGGUAAAUAAUAUGGCGCGUGUUGGGCCGCAGUUGGUGACGUCAAGGAUUGAAAGGUAUGUCGAUGGUUCGAUGUAAAGAGGCUGGGCAACGAAAGUGGAUA
rnacentral:misc_RNA from 1 species